UGAGGAAUAUUGCACAAUGGGCGAAAGCCUGAUGCAGCAACGCCGCGUGAGGGACGAAGGCCUUCGGGUCGUAAACCUCUUUUCUGGGGGACGAGUAAGGACGGUACUCCAGGAAUAAGUCUCGGCUAACUACGUGCCAGCAGCCGCGGUAAAACGUAGGAGGCGAGCGUUAUCCGGAUUUACUGGGCGUAAAGCGUACGCAGGUGGCUUCGUUAGUCGGACGUGAAAGCUCCUGGCUUAACUGGGAGAGGUUGUUCGAUACUGCGGGGCUUGAGGUUGGGAGAGGGACGUGGAAUUCCCGGUGUAGUGGUGGAAUGCGUAGAUAUCGGGAGGAACACCAGUGGCGCAAGCGGCGUCCUGGUCCGCAACUGACGCUCAGACGCGAAAGCUAGGGUAGCAAACGG
rnacentral:rRNA from 1 species